ACGGGGGGAGCUAGCGUUAUUCGGAAUUACUGGGCGUAAAGCGCACGUAGGCGGCUUUGUAAGUGAGAGGUGAAAUCCCGGGGCUCAACUCCGGAAUUGCCUUUCAUACUGCAUCGCUUGAAUCUUGGAGAGGCGAGUGGAAUUCCGAGUGUAGAGGUGAAAUUCGUAGAUAUUCGGAAGAACACCAGUGGCGAAGGCGACUCGCUGGACAAGGAUUGACGCUGAGGUGCGAAAGCGUGGGGAGCAAACAGG
rnacentral:rRNA from 1 species